rnacentral:rRNA from 1 species
CAAUAGCGUAUAUUAAAGUUGUUGCGGUUAAAAAGCUCGUAGUUGGAUUUCUGUUGAGAACAGGCGGUCCACCUUUUGGGUGAGUAUCUGCAUUGGUCUCGGCAUCUAAGUGAGAAACAUUUCUGCGCUUGAUUGCGUGGAGUGGAGCUCAUUUCGUUUACUUUGAGGAAAUUAGAGUGUUCACGGCAGGCAUACGUCUUGAAUAUAUUAGCAUGGGAUAAUAAUAUAGGAUCUUGGUUCUAUUUUGUUGGUUUCUAGAGCUAAGAUAAUGAUUAAUAGGGACAAUUGGGGGCAUUCGUACUAUGCAGUCAGAGGUGAAAUUCUUGGAUUUGCAUAUGACGAACUACUGCGAAAGCAUUUGCCAAGGAUGUUUUCAUUGA